rnacentral:rRNA from 1 species
UACGUAGGUGGCGAGCGUUGUCCGGAUUUACUGGGCGUAAAGGGCGCGUAGGCGGCUUGGUCAGUCCCGUGUGAAAUCCCUCGGCUCAACUGAGGAACUGCACGGGAAACUGCCUGGCUUGAGUUCGGGAGAGGGAAGCGGAAUUCCGGGUGUAGCGGUGAAAUGCGUAGAUAUCCGGAGGAGCACCGGUGGCGAAGGCGGCUUCCUGGACCGACACUGACGCUGAGGCGCGAAAGCGUGGGGAGCAAACAGG